rnacentral:rRNA from 1 species
GCGGCGGACGGGUAGUAAUGUCUGGAAACUGCCUGAUGGAGGGGGAUAACUACUGGAAACGGUAGCUAAUACCGCAUAACGUCGCAAGACCAAAGAGGGGGACCUUCGCGGCCUCUUGCCAUCAGAUGUGCCAGCAUGGGAUUAGCUAGUAGGUGGGGUAACGGUCACCUAGGCGAGAUCCCUAGCUGGACUCUGAGAGGAUGACAGCAACUGGAACUGAGACACGGUCCAGACUCCUACGGGGAGGCAGCAGUGGGGAAUAUUGCACAAUGGGCGCAAGCCUGAUGCAGCCAUGCCGCGUGUAUAAAGAAGGCCUUCGGGUUGUAAAGUACUUUCAGCGGGGGGGAGGGGAAAGGGGUGUUGGGAGGGGUAAAUAACCAAGGCAAUUUAAAGGGUUUAAGCCCGGGANAAAGUAAAAGGCACCCGGNCGUUAANAUCCAGGUAUUCGCCAAAGCAAGGCCAGCGAGGGUAAAUAACCGGGGAACGCGUUCGCAAGACGGGUCUAGACUCGGGAAUUAAACUGGGGGCCCGAGUUUAAAACAAGCGCGGCACACAAGACCCCCAAANUCUCGGACGGGCGUCUUCUGAGUUCCCAGACGC